GUGCUCGCUUUGGCAACACAUAUACUGAAAUUGGAAGUAUACAGAGAUUGACGUGGCCGCAGAGCAAGGAUGACAUGCAAAUUCAUGAAACAGUCCACGCUUUU
ensembl:snRNA U6 U6 spliceosomal RNA